ACCGAAAUAGCUCCAGUUGGGAGAGUGUUAGACUGUAGAUCGAAAGUUCCUGGUUCGACCCCGGGUUACGGCA
rnacentral:tRNA from 1 species